UCGAGCGGUAACAGGAAUUAGCUUGCUAAUUUGCUGACGAGCGGCGGACGGGUGAGUAACGCGUAGGAAUCUGCCUGGUAGUGGGGGACAACAUGUGGAAACGCAUGCUAAUACCGCAUACGCCCUACGGGGGAAAGGAGGGGAUCUUCGGACCUUUCGCUAUCAGAUGAGCCUGCGUGAGAUUAGCUAGUUGGUGGGGUAAAGGCUCACCAAGGCGACGAUCUCUAGCUGGUCUGAGAGGAUGAUCAGCCACACUGGGACUGAGACACGGCCCAGACUCCUACGGGAGGCAGCAGUGGGGAAUAUUGGACAAUGGGCGCAAGCCUGAUCCAGCCAUGCCGCGUGUGUGAAGAAGGCCUUCGGGUUGUAAAGCACUUUCAGAAGUGAGGAAGGGUGUGUAGUUAAUACCUACAUAUCUUGACGUUAGCUUCAGAAGAAGCACCGGCUAACUCUGUGCCAGCAGCCGCGGUAAUACAGAGGGUGCGAGCGUUAAUCGGAAUUACUGGGCGUAAAGCGCGCGUAGGUGGUUUGUUAAGUCGGAUGUGAAAGCCCAGGGCUCAACCUUGGAAUUGCACCCGAUACUGGCAAGCUAGAGUACGGUAGAGGGGUGUGGAAUUUCCUGUGUAGCGGUGAAAUGCGUAGAUAUAGGAAGGAACAUCAGUGGCGAAGGCGACACCCUGGACCGAUACUGACACUG
rnacentral:rRNA from 1 species